ACACUGUUCCCCCGCCUCCGCCAGGAUUUUGCAGCGGGUGUGACUCUCAGCCUGUGAUGCUGAUUCUCCCUCCCGCGAGAACUUCAGGAACGCAGGCAGGCCUUCACCGCUAGUACUGAGCAGAGCAGGGAGUGACAGUCUUCCUUCUAGGGUUUUUGUGAAAGUUAGCCCGUUAAAGGACCCGGCAGAAUCUGGCACCAUGCAAGCGCUCCCUAAAUGGUCUCUCUCAUCGUUAUACUAAACCCGCUAGUUAGAACAGGGCUGGCAAAUGAAAACGAAGUCCGAGAACCGGAAGGGUCUGCACAAAGGGGAGGGCCGCGCGCGGCACGGCUCUUUGAGGAGGGGUUUGGCGGGAGAUCCUGCACACCGUCCAAUCCACCCCCUACGGGAGAGGAAGAGGCGGAGUCAGGCCGCCCUCCCGACUCCGCACUGCUCACUCCCGCGCCGGCGUUUGAACCCGCUCGGGCUUCAAGGCUCGCUCGCCCGGACGCACCUUUCGCAGCCACAUCUUCCCCGGCGCCGGGCAGGGACGUGCCCUGCCUCCUGCAGACAUGGCCUCGAGCGCUGCCACCACGACUGUAAAGAUUGGAAUAAUUGGUGGAACAGGCUUGGAUGACCCAGAAAUUUUAGAAGGAAGAACCGAAAAAUAUGUGGAUACUCCAUUUGGCAAGCCAUCCGAUGCCUUAAUUUUGGGGAAGAUAAAAAAUGUUGAUUGUGUCCUUCUUGCAAGGCAUGGGAGGCAGCAUACCAUCAUGCCUUCCAAAGUCAACUACCAGGCAAACAUCUGGGCUCUGAAGGAGGAGGGUUGUACCCAUGUCAUAGUGACCACGGCUUGCGGCUCCUUGAGGGAGGAGGUUCAGCCUGGCGAUAUCGUCAUUAUCGAUCAGUUCAUCGACAGCUGUGAAACGUCUAAACACCUGGCCCCUUGUGAGCAAAGGAGAACAUGCAUGUCACUGACCUUGAGACAGCAGGACAGCAGACCAGGUGGGGAGGCCUGUGGUGAUUCCAGGACCACUACAAGGCCUCAGACCUUCUAUGAUGGGAGUCGUUCCUGUGCCAGAGGAGUGUGCCAUAUUCCAAUGGCUGAGCCAUUCUGCCCCAAGACGAGAGAGGUCCUUAUAGAGACUGCUAAGAAGCUAGGACUCCGGUGUCACUCAAAGGGGACAAUGAUCACAAUUGAGGGGCCUCGGUUUAGCUCCCGAGCAGAAAGCCUCAUGUUCCGCACCUGGGGGGCGGAUGUUAUCAAUAUGACUACAGUUCCAGAGGUGGUUCUUGCUAAGGAGGCUGGAAUUUGCUACGCAAGUAUCGCCAUGGCAACAGAUUAUGAUUGCUGGAAGGAGCAUGAGGAAGCGUUCCAGAAAGUGCUUUUCUUCAAGAUUCGUGUACUAAUAAGGAAGGAUGAAUUGUCAAGCGACAAGCAAGGUUUCAGUGGACAGGGUCUUAAAAACCCUGAAAGAAAAUGCCAAUAAAGCCACAAGUGUACUCCUCACUACCAUACCUCAGAUAGGGUCCAUGGAAUGGUCAGAAACCCUCCAUAACCUGAAGAACAUGGCCCAGUUUUCGGUUUUACUACCGAGACAUUAAAAUAGCAUGGCUGCCCAGGAGAAAAGAAGACUUUAUAAUUCCAGUCACUUCAGGAAUUCCUACUGAAUUUGAAAAAACAUGGAAAAUACACGCAGCUUUCGUGCCCUUGCCUGCUUGGGAAGAAUGUGAGAAGAAAGACAAGAAAUUGCACAUGUUAGAGAUUCUUUCUACAAGACUUGGGCUAGUUCAAAAGACAAGCAAAUGACCAGUAAACAUGCAGAAAAAAUCCUUACAUUUUACAAAAAAGACAAGGAGAUACCAACCCCCUCCCUUUAUUAGAUUUCCAACAGUAAAGGGAAGUGGUAACAUCUAGUUUUCCAUGCUGCCAAGGUAUAUAAAGAAGAAGUGGGACUCUUGGGCCAUUUACUGAUGUGGCUGUAAAUUGGUACAAUUUUUCUGGAGAGCAGUUUGAUAAAACAUAUUGAGAUGCUUUAAAAAAUGUACUGUUUGAGCUGGUUAUUCGUAGGAAUUUAUCUUCAAAAUUAUCAGAGAUGCAUACAAAGAAUUUUGUAUAAAAAAGGAUGUCCGAUGUAGUGUUGGUUAUAAUAGCAGAAAAAUUAAAACAAUCUUGAAUUUCCAACAAUUGAAGGUAAGUUAUGGGUUAGCUGCAAUUGGAUUUUGAAGCAGCCAACUGAAGAUCAAGUUUUCACGUAAUAUUUAGGUCCUAAAGAAAUGGUUGCUCUAUUAACACAAAGUGAAUAAAGGAUACAUAAGCACUGACAGUAGUAACUUUGUUUUAAAAUUCUAUGUAAGUAUAAAAAAACUAGAAAGAAAUAUAAUCUUUUAUCCUAUUUAGAGGAAGGAUACUGGAUAGUUUUUAUUUCCAUUGUAUUUUUCUGUAUCUUCACAUUUUUCUACAAUGAAUAUAAUCAAAUAGUAAAGUUGUUUGCUUUAAAAAUCAAAAUGGACUUGGAGAGAUCCAGUUCUUUAAAACACAACGUGUCUGCUAAUGACAAGAGAUUUAAGACCACCAUGCUAGGAAGAAUUCUGUUUAAGGAAGCAACAUCUUUAUUCCAUUGAAAAAGAGGAUUGUUAAUGGUUACAGAGAAUAUUUAGAUUUGCCAUGACUUCCUAAGAAAGACUGGGUGUUUAAUACUGAAAAACCAAAAAAAAAAAAAUUGCUGAACCCAUUGCCAUCGAGUUGAUUCCAACUCAUGGCUACCCUGUAGAACAGAGUAGAACUGUCCCUCAGGGUUUCCAAGGAGUGGCUGGUGGAUUUGAACUGCCAACCUUUUGGUUAGUGGCUGAGCUCCUAACCACUGUACCAUCAGAGCUGAGUUAGUCUAAAAGCUAUUAUUUAAGAGACUAUAUAUAUAUAUAUAUAUAUAUAUAUACACACACAUUAUAGUGUGUCAAGUAUUUUUAAAAUUAAUAUUGAACUCUUUGUUUCUACUCCUUGUGUGAGUUGAUGAAUUAAUUUACAUAGGUUGGUGAUUUUUGUUUUUUAAUAAAGAAAAAAAGGAAGUGGAAACUUCUGUGUUUAUUAUUAAGUUUUUAAGAAUGCUUUUUGGUUUUGUUCUUGAAAGUUUUCUAUUACAAGGAGAUUCCCCUUCCACCCCUGGAGUACUACAUUUCUUUUCACUGGUCUAUUACAGGGUAUUUUAGUGAUGUAUCUUUUGCCUAGUUAAAAAAAAUCUGUAAAGUCAAUGUAUUUGUAUUUAUGAUUUUGCCUUGAAGAUAAGAAGCUGCUAAUAGUUAACAAUAAAAUAACCAGUUAUCUCCCUGCUUUAAUAUUGAACUGUUCGGGUUACAUGUGAUUAUGUGAUUAACCCACUGCCGUCGAGUCGAUAGGACAGAGUGGAACUACCCGAUAGAGUUUCCAAGGAGUGCCUGGCGGAUUCAAACUGCCAACCUCUUGGUUAACAGCCAUAGCACUUAACCACUACGCCACCAGGGAUUACGACCCUUGAAUUCCCUGAAGUGAUGGCUUUCAGCUCUAGCUGCACAUUAAGUUCCAUGAAGGACCUGACAGCUCAGAACUCAGAGUUCUCAGGCCCUGCAACCUGUAAUUGUUUUCACUGCUCUCUAAUAUAUACUAUAGGAGCCCUCACGGUGCAGUGGCUAAGCUCUGGGCUGCUAACUGAAAGGUUUGCAGUUCGAACCCACCAGCCACUCCAUGGGAGAAAGAUGUGGCAGUCUGCUUCUGUAAAGAUUACAGCCUUGGAAACCCUAUGGAGCAGUUCUACUCUGUAACACAUGGGUAGGCAUGAGUUGGGGGCCCAUCCAACGGCAGCGAACAAACAACCUUCCCUUUUAGUGGGUAUCUGAGAAUGUCAAGGCGAAAAUGUGAAUUUUUUUUUUUUUUUUGCCUUCAGAAAGUACAGUUCUCUCCAACUUACGGAGGUGUUUUUGUUUGUAAGGCUCAUUCAUUCUGUACAAAGUCGAUGUGUUUUUUCCGAGACCUCCAUUCUUGAGUACUUUGCUGACCAUGUCCUCCCUAAACACAUUCACUUCUAUGAUGCUUAACUUUUUGUUUGUUUGUUCGUUUUCUUAGCUGCUAAAUUAACACCACGGUCAGUUUGAGCAUUUCAGAGCUUUCCCAGUGGAUUGCGGGCAUAGUGAGAAAUCUAGGAAAGCUUUGACUUGGAGACUUAGUUCCUUGGAAAAGGGCUGAGUUAUUAAUUAAUGGAUUUGCAUCUAAUCAAAGGAAAAUAUUCAUUGACAUGAUACGCUGCUGUUCUGUUUGUUAAUUGGUUUUUGUGAUUUGGAGGAUGACAGCAAAAAUUGUUAGUAUGCAGUGUUAACCAAAAAAAAAAGAA